rnacentral:rRNA from 1 species
UACGGGGGGGGCAAGCGUUGUUCGGAAUCACUGGGCGUAAAGCGCGCGUAGGCGGUUUGUUAAGUGGGAUGUGAAAUCCCCGGGCUUAACCUGGGAAUUGCAUUUCAAACUGGCCGACUAGAGUACGGUAGAGGGAGGUAGAAUUUCCUGUGUAGCGGUGAAAUGCGCAGAUAUCGGAAGGAAUACCAGUGGCGAAGGCGGCCUCCUGGAUCGAUACUGACGCUGAGGCGCGAAAGCGUGGGGAGCAAACAGG